ACCUUUCCUUCUAUAUCUGCCAAGUGUAGAGCUCUUUUCGACAAUACUUUCUUGACGAGGUAAGGACCUUGCCAAUUCGGGGCGAACUCUCGUUUUUCUUCUUCCUGUUGUGGAAAGAUGCAUUUCAAAACAAAUUGUCCUACCUCAAAGUUUCUUGGGUGCACUUUCUUGUUGUAAGCGCGUGCCAUUCUUUGUUGGUAUGACUGACCAAAACAGACUACCGCCAAACACUUUUCAUCAAUCAAACUCAACUGUUCCAAUCGUGACUUCACCCAUUCAGUGUCUUCAAUCCCAGCAUCAACAAUUAUCCGGAGAGAUAGAAUCUCAACUUC
rnacentral:lncRNA from 1 species